rnacentral:rRNA from 1 species
CAGCAGCCGCGGUAAUACGUAGGGCGCGAGCGUUGUCCGGAAUUAUUGGGCGUAAAGAGCUUGUAGGCGGUUUGUCGCGUCUGCUGUGAAAGGCCGGGGCUUAACCCCGUGUAUUGCAGUGGGUACGGGCAGACUAGAGUGCAGUAGGGGAGACUGGAAUUCCUGGUGUAGCGGUGGAAUGCGCAGAUAUCAGGAGGAACACCGAUGGCGAAGGCAGGUCUCUGGGCCGUAACUGACGCUGAGAAGCGAAAGCAUGGGGAGCGAACAGGAUUAGAUACCCUGGUAGUCCAUGCCGUAAACGUUGGGCACUAGGUGUGGGGGACAUUCCACGUUUUCCGCGCCGUAGCUAACGCAUUAAGUGCCCCGCCUGGGGAGUACGGCCGCAAGGCUAAAACUCAAAGAAAUUGACGGGGGCCCGCACAAGCGGCGGAGCAUGCGGAUUAAUUCGAUGCAACGCGAAGAACCUUACCAAGGCUUGACAUAUACUGGACCGCAUCAGAGAUGGUGUUUCCCUUCAGGGCUGGUAUACAGGUGGUGCAUGGUUGUCGUCAGCUCGUGUCGUGAGAUGUUGGGUUAAGUCCCGCAACGAGCGCAACCCUCGUUCUAUGUUGCCAGCACGUUAUGGUGGGGACUCAUAGGAGACUGCCGGGGUCAACUCGGAGGAAGGUGGGGAUGACGUCAAAUCAUCAUGCCCCUUAUGUCUUGGGCUUCACGCAUGCUACAAUGGCCGGUACAGAGGGUUGCGAUACUGUGAGGUGGAGCUAAUCCCUAAAAGCCGGUCUCAGUUCGGAUUGGGGUCUGCAACUCGACCCCAUGAAGUCGGAGUCGCUAGUAAUCGCAGAUCAGCAACGCUGCGGUGAAUACGUUCCCGGGCCUUGUACACACCGCCCGUCAAGUCACGAAAGUUGGUAACACCCAAAGCCCGGUGGCCUAACCUUUUGGAGGGAGCCGUCUAAGGUGGGAUUGGCGAUUGGGACUAAGUCGUAACAAGGUAGCCGU